GACGAACGCUGGCGGCAUGCCUAACACAUGCAAGUCGAGCGAGUAGAUCCCUUCGGGGUGAAGCUAGCGGCGGACGGGUGAGUAACACGUAGGCAACCUGCCUCAUAGAGGGGAAUAGCCUUCCGAAAGGAAGAUUAAUACCGCAUAAGAUUGUAGCUUCGCAUGAAGCAGCAAUUAAAGGAGCAAUCCGCUAUGAGAUGGGCCCGCGGCGCAUUAGCUAGUUGGUGAGGUAACGGCUCACCAAGGCGACGGUGCGUAGCCGACCUGAGAGGGUGCUCGGCCACAUUGGGACUGAGACACGGCCCAGACUCCUACGGGAGGCAGCAGUGGGGAAUAUUGCACAAUGGGGGAAACCCUGAUGCAGCAAUGCCGCGUGAGUGAUGACGGCCUUCGGGUUGUAAAGCUCUGUCUUCGGGGACGAUAAUGACGGUACCCGAGGAGGAAGCCACGGCUAACUACGUGCCAGCCGCCGCCGUAA
rnacentral:rRNA from 1 species